ensembl:misc_RNA Metazoa_SRP Metazoan signal recognition particle RNA
GCCAGGCGUGGUGGCACACGCCUGUAAUCCCAGCUACUCGGGAGGCUGAGGCAGGAGAAUUGUUUGAACCUGGGAGGCUGAGGUUGCAGUGAGCCGAGGUUGCACCACUGCACUCCAGCCUGGGUGACAGAGUGAGACUCUGUCUCAA